CCUACGGGAGGCUGCAGUGGGGAAUAUUGGACAAUGGGCGAAAGCCUGAUCCAGCCAUGCCGCGUGUGUGAAGAAGGCCUUCGGGUUGUAAAGCACUUUCAGUGGGGAAGAAAGCCUUGGGGCUAAUACCCUCGAGGAAGGACAUCACCCACAGAAGAAGCACCGGCUAACUCCGUGCCAGCAGCCGCGGUAAUACGGAGGGUGCGAGCGUUAAUCGGAAUUACUGGGCGUAAAGCGCGCGUAGGCGGUCUGAUAAGCCGGUUGUGAAAGCCCCGGGCUCAACCUGGGAACGGCAUCCGGAACUGUCAGGCUAGAGUGCAGGAGAGGAAGGUAGAAUUCCCGGUGUAGCGGUGAAAUGCGUAGAGAUCGGGAGGAAUACCAGUGGCGAAGGCGGCCUUCUGGACUAACACUGACGCUGAGGUGCGAAAGCGUGGGUAGCAAACAGGAUUAGAUACCCUAGUAGUC
rnacentral:rRNA from 1 species